rnacentral:sRNA from 1 species
AAAAGCUUCUAACAUGAUAUGGAAUCUUGGAUUCCAUAUCAUGUUAGAAGCUUUU